CCCGGCCCCUUCAGACACCAGCU
rnacentral:miRNA from 1 species